rnacentral:lncRNA from 1 species
AGAGAUGCAGCUAGUGUCGUCACUUAUCAGUUAGCUAGCAUUGUUGCUAAUCCUUCAAUAAGUCAAUUCUUAUAAAUGAAAAAAUGUCUUCUAAAAAUCACAAAACGUUGUGUUUUUUUAUGUUUUUUUUAUUUAUUUAGAUUUAACAGAGUAAGCAUCUGAUCAAAAUAUGUCCAAAUUCUGUUAGUAUUUUCAUGUCUUAAUCAUUUUAACCAGAGCUGCUAUAUUAUAUUAUUACAGAGCAACAUAUUUAGGCUAUUAAUUUAAAAACGGUCAGAGUGAAGUUUAAGACAUUUUUAGGUGAAUAAAGAUACAUCAAUCUAUAAAAACUGUCCCAGCGUUGUAAGAGAUAGACUGACACAAAUGACAGAACAUUUCUGUAGCCUGGAGGAGGUACGUCUCUUCCUGCCCCAACAAAGAGCUGCCUUUAGCUGGAACUCGCCCAGCCGUCUGCCAUAGACCUCAUAUACCGUCUGCAGCCAGGUCCUCUUGGGUCCUCUUGUCACACCCUGCAGUUGUUUCCGGAGGUUAAGGCGCAGUCGUCUGCUGUCUUGCAAAAACAACAGAUGAUUAAUCAAGCACCCUUCACCGAGUCAAGUGUUAUUAUACUAGACUGUUUACUACAUUUAAAAUAUUCUGUUCUUUAAGCACAAUCCUAUUUUAAUAGGUGAUCCAGUAACUACAAUAAAUUGAAUAUUUAUCUUUUUCCUCACGUGUUCUGUGAUGGAAGGUGUUUAUUGAAAUGAUUCAUAAUCAAUGAUGUGUGAUAGUUCAUAAACAAUGACGACUAUUAAUGAUAUUACUUUUUGUUCCAUGCGAUGAUAAUGUGUACUCAGUAAACUGAACUUAACAUUCUUCCCUCAGUGAGCAUAUCUAAGAUGCUGAGUGAGAGUGUGUGCUAAGGAAUGCACGUCACAGUUGUUCUGUCUACAAAUUCUGGCGCCAGGGUCAUCUUUCCUUCUGCUUGCAGAAAACCAGGGUGUUUUGAGAACCAGCCUGAUAUGCUCAAGUUGACGUGUCACAAUGGUGGCACUGUGCCCAUAAUUGGGAAGUAAGAUAGUAAGGGUUGGGAGGAUCUAAGGUAUAAAGAGAGCGUGGCACUCUUGCAAGGCAGGAGAUCACUCUGUAUUCAUACGCGUGUCUUCUCAAUAAAUCUUGUUACUCAUUCUGAUCA